CCUACGGGAGGCUGCAGUGGGGAAUAUUGCACAAUGGGCGCAAGCCUGAUGCAGCCAUGCCGCGUGUGUGAAGAAGGCCUUCGGGUUGUAAAGCACUUUCAGCGGGGAGGAAGGCGGUGAGGUUAAUAACCUCAUCGAUUGACGUUACCCGCAGAAGAAGCACCGGCUAACUCCGUGCCAGCAGCCGCGGUAAUACGGAGGGUGCAAGCGUUAAUCGGAAUUACUGGGCGUAAAGCGCACGCAGGCGGUCUGUCAAGUCGGAUGUGAAAUCCCCGGGCUCAACCUGGGAACUGCAUUCGAAACUGGCAGGCUAGAGUCUUGUAGAGGGGGUAGAAUUCCAGGUGUAGCGGUGAAAUGCGUAGAGAUCUGGAGGAAUACCGGUGGCGAAGGCGGCCCCCUGGACAAAGACUGACGCUCAGGUGCGAAAGCGUGGGGAGCAAACAGGAUUAGAUACCCUAGGAGUC
rnacentral:rRNA from 1 species